ACCAUCCUUUUCUUGGGAUUGCACUACUUUCCAAUGAGUGCAUAGUGAGGGCAGUACUACUAAUGCCUACACAACACACCUGCAUCAACUAGAGCUUUGCUUUAACUUGGUGCAAUUUUUGGAAAA
ensembl:snRNA